GGGUGCGUAACGCGUAUGCAACCUACCCUAUACAGGGGGAUAGCCCGGAGAAAUCUGGAUUAAUACCCCAUAGUACUAAGUUGAGGCAUUUUGAUUUAGUUAAAGAUUCAUCGGUAUAGGAUGGGCAUGCGUCUGAUUAGCUAGUUGGCGGUGUAACGGACCACCAAGGCGACGAUCAGUAGGGGUUCUGAGAGGAAGGUCCCCCACACUGGCACUGAGAUACGGGCCAGACUCC
rnacentral:rRNA from 1 species